rnacentral:ncRNA from 1 species
GAUAGGUGCCCCUUGUGGUUAAACGGGAAAUUGGUGAGCUUUUGCAAUUCCAAUACUGCCCCCGCAACGGUAAUCGACGUUAAUCUGUAUCCGGGUAUUUUACCCAGUCACUGUGUUUUUAAACAUGGGAAGGCGAUAUAGAAGAAUCAUAGUAUUCGCGUCGAGAGUCCGGAGACCGGCCUUUUAAUGUG